CCUUGACCUCAGACAGGAUGUUUAUUAAUCCAGCAGUUCCAAAGGAAUUGAAUAUAAAUCAAAUACAAGCAUCAGAUGCAGGAAACUAUUCAUGUCACACUAGUACAGCAGCAAUAGGAUGGAUAUUAACAGUAACAGAAAACAGACCACAUCACCUCUACAUUAUCAUCUCAUGUACUGCAGUUAUUAUCAUCUGUCUGAUCAUCGGUCUCAGUAUCUGGAUUAACAGGACAUGGAAAAGCAACGGAGAUGCAGGGCAGGACUUUUCACAGACCCUGGCCAGAGGAGGAGUACAAACUCAAAACAGUCAGUACUUUGAGAGAUACAACUCAUUGUAUGGACAAGUAUUACACUGAAGAUCCUAUACAGCUAUAGCCUACAGUUAAGGGCAUUUGGUGACUCAAAUAGACUUAAAAUACUGUGGGAGAACUGGAGUACCCAGUGAAAACCCAUGUAACCCGGACACUGAAGAUGUAAUAUGACUUUUGCUUAUCUUCUGCUUGUAUAAACUGUUUGUUUAUAUGACAAUGCCAUUCUGGGGUCUUAAAAACUUUUGAAGAUGGGUUUCAAAGUGCAAGUUUUUGAAAACUGUGCUCUGCCACCAUCGUCUCUGUGCUCUGCCACCAUCGUCUCCGUCGACUAUGCCUUGUCGUCUCUGUGUGAAUUACAUAACCACGAAUCUGUGAUAAUGGUGACAUCAUAUGCAUGUGUUCAUGCGUGAGAGUAUAGACGGUUUCAGCAGCAACAACAUAAACAAACGGUGUGGAACACAAAAGAAUUGGACUAAAUGUAACUUCCACAUUGUGGUAUAGUGGUUAAAGAGACUUGAUUGUAACCCAGAGGAUGUUGGUUCAAUUCCCACAGCAUGACAGGAAGUGACUGAAGUGUUUUGAUGUUGCAGUGAUAGUUGCCCAUAGCUGCCAUCUUGUUUGUAUUUAUUGCUAUGUAGGAGAAUGUUUACACAAAGGAACACAUAUCUGUUUUUUAUUACAUUAGUGUCAUGGAAACGUAGCCUGAGAGAUUGCAGUUUUAAAAGGUCAACAAUCUUUGGUCUAGGACAAAUCUAUCACAGUUUAUCUUAGCUGCUUUGGGGCUUUUCUUAGAUCAGAUACAUUUUUUUCAAAACACUUAGUUCAACCUCCACAUCAUCAAGUCAGUUGUGCACAACAUAAAAGCAAAUUCUCAUUGUUUUGGACAUAUUGCAAAUGCUUUGAUACAACCAUACAAUUGUCUGCUGUUUGCUACAGUUUCAAUUGCUUAUGUCAUUUUCAUCAAAAUACAUUAGACUGGUUUCUGUUAAAUAGCCUUACAUCUCAAAACAUUUGGAAUUAAUUCAUUGUAAAAGGCACGUCAUGCAAAAUUGUUAACCGUUGUGUCAUAAUAUGUUACUGUAAACAUUUUUAAAAAAUGUUUAGUCUUUUGUAAAUGUAAACGGAAUUGAUGUAUUGCUGUCAUGUGAAUCUUGAGUUACAGAAAAAUGUACAUUUCUUACAAUGUACAGUGAACCUUUAGCCUACAGUUUUUCUCAUUUGCUUUGGCUCAUUUCUUGAAACAUGGAAAAACCUCCAAUCCACUUGGCAAUUGUUCACAACAGAAUUGAAUUUCUCAUUCAUUUCAUCAAAUUGCAAAUGUCUAAGUACAUGUCUCAAUAUCUCAGUACAUCUUUGCAAAUUAUUAAGUACAGGCAGCCUACAUUUAGCACAAUUUCCAAGUGAAUAGAUCUUGUUGAUCUAAACUUAGUGGUUGAUUCUCAGUCUAAUGGUUGUUCGCUCCAAAACAUGUCAGCAUCAUUUCAUUGUAUAAGUCAUCACAUGCACAAUUGUCAAAAUUAGUCAAGAACCUAAUUGUCACGAUCUCAGUCUUUCGACCGCUCUGUCUCUUUUUUCCUUCUCUGUGUUUUGUGUUUUGACAGUUCCUCACGUGCGCUUCUGUCACCGGGGCGAUCUCAUCAUCACUAACUAAUUUCCUUCAUCUGCGUCACUCACCUGUUCCUCAUUUGCUCCCCAAUUCGUUUGGUAUUUAGUCUCCCCUUGUUCUUUUGCUCCUUGCGAGUUCAUCAUAGUUUCUGUGCUUUUGUCCUGUCAUGUCGUGUUCGCCGUUUUGGAUUAUUUAGCAUUUUUUGACCUUUUUGUCUUUUAUUAUUUUUCUGCCUGUUCUGUCUGCUGUCUCUGCUCUACGUCUCUCAUUAGGAAUCCAGCACCUCCGCUCCAGUUUGCCCAUUGCCUUCUCUCUGCCCUGCCGGUGUCCAGCUAUGCCAGAUUCCAUGUGUGACCGCUGUCCAGUAGCACUGAGGGAGUUCAUGACCGCCGCCCUGCUGUAUCUGUCGGCCUUCAUUGCCGAUCGCUGUCCAGAGUCCUGACUAUGCCCGCUGUCCAGCUACACUGUGACGGAUCAUAUUAUAACCCAGCUACCUGUCGGCCUUAAUUGCCGAUUGGUCAUCUCAUCUCUCCCCGAUUCAAAUCUGUGGCAUUACUACAUCCAGCUUGGUGUGUGAUCUCCAGUGUGUGACUGUCUCUCAUCCUGACCAGCACGGCGGUUGUGAUCUCCAGUGUGUGUCCUUGUGACUUUUCUCUGCCUACCGGCAGGGUGGUUGUUGAUCACCAGUGUUAUCUAUAUUCUUAUUAAAGAUUGUUUCAUCUGCUAUUGGAUCCUUGCCUCUGUGUAUU